ensembl:lncRNA
CUCCGCCUGAAAUUAUAUACUCUGGCUCGAAUUGAUUCAGUUUCUGUCCACCUAAAGGUAUAUUUUCUUGCUCGAAUUGAUUCAGUUUUUCUCCACCUAAAGGUAUAUUUUCUUGCUCGGAUUGAUUCAUUUUCUCUCUGUCUGAGGGUAUAUGUUCUUGCUCACAUAUAUCCAGUGUCUCUCCGCCUGAAGUUAUAUCCUCUUGUUCAGAUUGAUUCAGUUUCUCUCCGCCUGAAAUUAUAUACUCUGGCUCAGAUUGAUUCAGUUUCUCUCCGCCUGAAGUUAUGUACUCUGGCUCGAAUUGAUUCAGUUUCUGUCCACCUAAAGGUAUAUUCUCUUGUUCAGACUGAUUCAGUUUCUGUCCACCUAAAGGUAUAUUCUCUUGUUCAGACUGAUUCAGUUUCUGUCCACCUAAAGGUAUAUUCUCUUGUUCAGAUUGAUUCAGUUCCUCUCUGUCUGAGGGUAUGUGUUCUUGCACAUAUAGAUUCAGUUUCUCUCCGCCUGAAGUUAUGUACUCUGGCUCGAAUUGAUUCAGUUUCUGUCCACCUAAAGGUAUAUUCUCUUGUUCAGAUUGAUUCAGUUUCUCUCCGCCUGAAAUUAUAUACUCUGGCUCGAAUUGAUUCAGUUUCUGUCCACCUAAAGGUAUAUUUUCUUGCUCGGAUUGAUUCAUUUUCUCUCUGUCUGAGGGUAUAUGUUCUUGCUCACAUAUAUCCAGUGUCUCGCCGCCUGAAGUUAUAUCCUCUUGUUCAGAUUGAUUCAGUUUCUCUCCGCCUGAAAUUAUAUACUCUGGCUCAGAUUGAUUCAGUUUCUCUCCUCCUGAAGGUAUCUUCUCUUGUUCAGAUUGAUUCCGUUUCUCUCCACCUAAAGGUAUAUUCUCUUGCUCGGAUUGAUUCCGUUUCUCUCCGCCUGAAGUUAUGUACUCUGGCUCGGAUUGAUUCAGUUUCUCUCCGUCUGUUGGUAUGUUUUCUUGUGCAUUUACGUUCUGUUUCUCUCCGCCUGAAGGUAUAUGCUCUUGCUCAUAUUGAUUCAGUUUCUCUCCGCCUGAAGGUAUCUUCUCUUGUUCAGAUUGAUUCAUUUUCUCUCCAUCUGAGGGUAUGUUUUCUUGCACAUAUAGAUUCAGUUUCUCUCUGCCUGAGGGUAUAUACUCUUGUUCAGAUUGAUUCAGAUUCUCUCCAUCUGUGGGUAUGUGUUCUUGUGCAUUUAGAUUCAGUUUCUCUCCUCCUGAAGGUAUAUACUCUUGUUCAGAUUGAUUCAGUCUCUCUGAGUGUAUAUACUCUUGCUCAGGUUGAUUCAGUCUCUCUGAGUGUAUAUACUUUUGCUCAGUUUGAUUCAGUCUCUCUGAGUGUAUCUGCUCUACCUCCUCACUGUAUAAUAUGUCUUGUGUCUGGGAAAGUUCAGUGUGAGACUCAAUUUGAAGACUCAGUACUGACUCGCUCUCAAUCAUCUGCCCAGUAAAGUGUUCACUGUAACUGGAUAUAGAUAAAUUCUCUAGCUCUUGCUCCACCAAUCUAUCAAUUCUUUCUUCAUUAUAGUCCUCAUCAGAGCACACCAUGGAGUACUCUCCAGGUUCUGUAAGUUCCUCAUAGGAUUGCUCCUCUUCUGCCUCCUGAAUCAACUGAUCUACAGCAUUCUCCUCAUCGUUCUCCUGUGUAGCAUGCUCCUUUGUUUGGCUAGCAUCCACGUCGCCUUGGUGAGUGGAGCCCAUGUGACGUUCCUGAUCUAUGACAUCUCCUUCUGACUCUUCAUACAGAUCCUCCAUGGUGUCAAACUGUUUGGACUUGCCUUCGCCCCAGGUGUCUGUUCCUGUCUGGCAAACCUCCCUGUCCUCUUCACCAUCACUGGAGUCGCUCUCGCCCAUGUGUGAAGCCAGAGUGUUGACAUCCGUCUCGUCACUCUUGUAACGGAUCAAGGGGUGUGUGUCGGCUAGUGUGUUGUCCUGAGCAUAGCUGUCGCCUUCUAGCUCAGCCCUCCAUGAAACAGAAUUAUUUUGACAGUAGUUUGCCUCAUCAUGAUCCUCUUUGUCAUUGUCGGAUAUAUUCAGUUUAUCUCCGCCUGAAGUUAUGUACUCUGGCUCGGAUUGAUUCAGUUUCUCUCCACCUGAAGGUAUAUACUCUGACUCGGAUUGAUUCAUUUUCUCUCCGUCUGUUGUUAUGUGUUCUUGUGCAUUUACGUUCUGUUUCUCUCCGCCUGAAGUUAUGUACUCUGGCUCGGAUUGAUUCAGUUUCUCUCCGCCUGAAGGUAUAUGUUCUUGCUCAGAUUGAUUCAGUUUCUCUCCGUUUGAAUUGAUAUACCUUUGCUCAGACUGAUUCAGUUUCUCUCUGCCUGAAGGUAUUUGCUCUUGCUCGAAUAGAUUUUGUUUCUCUUCAUUUGAAGGUAUAUACUCUUGAUCAGACCGAUUGGGUUGGGCUUCUCUGUUAUUCCACAUCUCUUCCUCUUUCACAUGAUACUUUGCUUCUUUCCAAUCAUCCAUUCUUUCUCCAAUUCCAUUCUCUUCAUUGUACCCUGCCACUCGAUCCCAUUCAUCCUUUACAUCCCCAUUGGGGUUCAGUGCAUGUUGUUCCUCACGUUUGUUAGACAUAUCAUUUUCAUCAUCCACUUUUGUGAAAUUUAUGUCACCUUCCUCCACUCUUUCAACAUGGUGAAAUACCUCUUCUGACCAGUGAGAAGCUUGAGCAGAUUCAUAUGAGAUAAUCUCCUCUUGGUUGAACUUAUCGAUUCUUUCUGUCAUGUCAUUUUCCUUAAUGAAUCCUCCCAAUCUUUCACAAUCAUCGUUACCAUACCCAUAGGGGUGCAAUUCAUCUUCCAAUUGCUCCUCAUGUUUGUUAGACAUAUCAUUUUCAUCCUCUUUUGGGAGAUGAAUAACAUCUUCCUCCAGUCUUUUAACAUGGCGAAAUGCCUCUUCUGAACCGUGGGAGGCUUGAGUGGAUUCAUAUGACAUAUUGUCCUCUUGGUUGAACUCUAUUGGCUUGUUGUAACUUUUCCCCGCCCCAUACUCAAAAGCUUGACUGCUUGUGAAGGUUUCAAAUGCUUGCUCUAGCACUGAUGCAGUUUCAGAUUCCAAGCCUUCGUUUCUCGCCCAUUCAGCAUCUUUCUUUGCUGUUUCAAGCUCUCUUUCCUCCGAUGCAUUCAUGGGACCGUAAGGCAUAUCUAGUAGAGGUUCCUCUUUUUCAAAAUACAUUUCAAAAGGUACAUCAUUAUCAUCAUUCGCUGAGAAAGCAGAAUGUGCCCCUGUCACCGAACCUGCUCUCUCAUAGCUCACUGAAGGGCUGUAGAGCUCUUGAGCAUCAGUGCUGAACACAGUUGGCAUACUGAAGCUGGUCUCGACCCGGUGACUCAUGGCAGAUUCCAGAACGGGUUUCUCUUCAGCAAACCAGGUUCUGACUAUGUUCUGAUCCUCUUCCUCCUUUUCCAUAUCCCACAUGGAUUGUUCCUUGUGGUCAGAUCCAAGCAAAGAUACAACAUCAGCUCCUGCCUCUUCAGUGGGAGGUGAGAGAGGCUCAGCAUAGUUGACUUCUAUAUGGACAUCUUGGGGUCUGAAGUGGUGGACUGAAAUUCCGUCCUGUGGUACUUUGAGGUAAGGCGUUGAACAACUUACCUGGUGGUUGGACCCUACGCCAAAGUCGAUAUGCUCUUCUGUCUUUCGACAACUCUCAGGUGUUUCAUUCAGGGUUACCCGAUUUUGAGUCCAGAUUGGUGAUGCGGACAUCAUUGUCACAUUGGAUCGUGGACUUGCUCUAUGGAUGGUAGAGAUGGGCCUGAUCAUGUGACUGGUAGCCAGCUGUGUCUGGAAGCUUUGCUUAACC